CUCUAUUGUUUUGGUGCCAUAUUUUGGGCUAUUUUGAGCCCUGUAUUGAUAUUGAGUAUAUAAUCCUUCUUCAUCCUUAUCCAAUAUAGGAUGAUAGCAGCUGCACAGAUGAAUUGGGGUUACUUUGCUGGACUGGAUGCCAAACUUGACUAGGAUGUCCUUGGCGUGUGCACCCCUGUGGAAUCCAGUUCAUCUCCAAUCUGUCAGGAAGUAUCAGAGGUGGUUUUGACUCCUUAUGUCCUGGGCCUGUGCACAAAAUGUAAACCUGGCUCCCAUUGAGAUUCCAGAAUCUACAUUCUUGUUUUUCUCUUUCAUGCUAGAAGAUUUCUACACGUUUGGUGACCCUUGGCUAUCUUUCUACAUUUAAGAGUAAGGGCCUUGUAUUUAUUUGGAAAGCCUAUUUAUAAUAGAAAUGUAUUAACUGGUAAGGUUUACUACCAUGUGGUAACAUAGCUUUCUAAUUGAGAGAUCCUAAAUCUCAUAUUUUACAUAUUUUCUCUUCGCCUUUAAGUUUGUUUAGAGAGGACUUCUCCAAUUUUAUGCUCAGAGGAUAAGAGCUAUAGUCCUUGUUUUGGAUGCUGAGUCAGAAAAUGACCCACAAUUCUCACUAUUCAAUAUAGGGCUUUGCACUUCAUCUCCUGUUAGUCAAUAGAACAUCUCACCUUGUCAUUCACUAUACAAACCUCUACAGUAUAUACCUCUGAUCUUCUGUUGAGGUAAGGGAAGGGAUAUAGUGUCUAAUUAUUUCUUAGGUAAACAUUCAAGUAAUCCUCUUAUUUUAUUCAUACAUCCUCUCCUCAUUAUGUUAAUGAGGAUUAAUUAAUUAAUUGAUUAAUCACUUUCUGUGAUAUCUGGUGUUUCCAUAGCUUGAGAGUUUUUGGGAUUUUUGGUAGAAUUGGAAGCUUCCUAUUGGCCUCCUUCAAUUUAGGAUGAGGUUUCAACUUUAUCUGCUAAGCAGUCACUAUUCAUCCAUCUGUCUUCCAACAUUUCAGAAAUGUUUUUGAUAUUGUUUAUCUGAUAACUUUUCCUCUCCUAUUUUUUCAUCUUUAUGGGUUUAUAAGUUUUAAAAUUCUUUCACAUUCAGUUCAGUGUGGUUUUGUAAGGAUGAGAAAUAAAUAUAUGCAUAUGCAUCCA
rnacentral:lncRNA from 1 species